rnacentral:tRNA from 1 species
GGGGGUAUAGCUCAAGUGGUAGAGCGCAGGCAUAGCAUGCAUGAGGUCCUGGGUUUAACACCCAGUACCUCCU